rnacentral:rRNA from 1 species
GGAGGAAACUCUGAUGCAGCAACGCCGCGUGAAGGAUGAAGGUCUUCGGAUUGUAAACUUCUUUAGCCAGGGACGAAUAAAUGACGGUACCUGGAAAAUAAGCCACGGCUAACUACGUGCCAGCAGCCGCGGUAAUACGUAGGUGGCAAGCGUUGUCCGGAAUUACUGGGUGUAAAGGGCGUGUAGGCGGGAAGGUAAGUCAGAUGUGAAAUUCCGGGGCUCAACCCCGGCACUGCAUCUGAAACUAUUUUUCUUGAGUGCUGGAGAGGAAAGCGGAAUUCCUAGUGUAGCGGUGAAAUGCGUAGAUAUUAGGAGGAACACCAGUGGCGAAGGCGGCUUUCUGGACAGUAACUGACGCUGAGGCGCGAAAGCGUGGGGAGCAAACAGGAUUAGAUACCCUGGUAGUCCACGCUGUAAACGAUGGAUACUAGGUGUAGGAGGUAUCGACCCCUUCUGUGCCGCAGUUAACACAAUAAGUAUCCCACCUGGGGAGUACGGCCGCAAGGUUG